rnacentral:misc_RNA from 1 species
UUUCCGUAGGUGAACCUGCGGAAGGAUCAUUAAAAAUGAAGCCGGGAAACCGGUCCUUCUAACCCUUGAUUAUCUUAAUUUGUUGCUUCGGUGGGCCGCGCAAGCACCGGCUUCGGCUGGAUCGUGCCCGCCAGAGGACACAACUCUGUAUCAAAUGUCGUCUGAGUACUAUAAAAUAGUUAAAACUUUCAACAACGGAUCUCUUGGUUCUG